rnacentral:rRNA from 1 species
UGUCCUCUAAAUAAGGACCCGUAUGAAAGGCAACAUGAGAAAGAAGCUGUCUCUUAAGGUCGACCAAUGAACCUGAUCUACCUGUACAAAAGCAGGCAUGUAAAAACAAGACAAAAAGACCCUGUGAAACUUCAAAUGUCCAUCAACAAAAUGAUAAAAACAUUUUCGGUUGGGGCAACCAAGGAGAAACACAAACCUCACCAGCAGUUACUAGGCAAACAAGCCAACUAACAUAGUUUUAGACCCAGCACCGCUGAUUAAAGAGCCAAGCUACUCCAGGGAUAACAGCGCCACAUUCUUGAAGAGUCCAUAUCAACAAGAAUACCUACGACCUCGAUGUUGGAUUAGGGUAUCCUGAUGGCGCAAAAGCUAUCAACGGUUCGUUUGUUCAACGAUUAAAAC